GAUGAACGCUGGCGGCGUGCCUAAUACAUGCAAGUCGAGCGAACAGAUGAGGAGCUUGCUCCUCUGACGUUAGCGGCGGACGGGUGAGUAACACGUGGAUAACCUACCUAUAAGACUGGGAUAACUUCGGGAAACCGGAGCUAAUACCGGAUAAUAUAUUGAACCGCAUGGUUCAAUAGUGAAAGACGGUUUUGCUGUCACUUAUAGAUGGAUCCGCGCCGCAUUAGCUAGUUGGUAAGGUAACGGCUUACCAAGGCAACGAUGCGUAGCCGACCUGAGAGGGAGAGGGCGCACCAGAAAAGAGAGACGCGCGCCACACCCACGGGGGGGGCAGAAAGGGAGGAUUUCGCCCAGGGGGGGAAAAAGUCAGAGAAAACCGCCGCGGGUGAGGAAAGAGUUUUCGGAGUAAAAAACUCUUUUUUGGGAGGAAAAAAAAUGUGUGAAAAUAUAUACGGAUUUAGGGGGGCUAAAUAGAAAGACCCGGCUCACUACCUG
rnacentral:rRNA from 1 species